rnacentral:lncRNA from 1 species
AGGAGGCUUCUAUCAGAGCAAAGAAUUUGGAGCUGCUUCCAAUCUGAAACUUCCUUAGCGUUGUAAAAAGCACCCUUCAUUCGAAAUCGCUCAGUGCCUGGACUCAGAAAGUGGGAGAGUUACCAAGGCUCGGUCCCCCAGGCACAGUGAGAAGAAACUGAGGCAAUGCCAAGAACACCCUGACCUCAUGAGCUUCAAAGAAGCUGCUGCUGCCAUUCCCAGUUCUGAGGCACCUCCAAGACCACUCUCAUCCAAACUCUCAAAACACUCCCCUUGGGUGAGCUGUCCCUUAAAAGGAACAGGGCUGGGCCUUCACAAAGGCUCCUGUGAGACUUCUACCCCCUAUGGGUCUGGUAGCACCAAGGGAUUUCUCAUGCUAUGACCACAGACAUCAUCAAGAGGGUAGAGAGACCAAAUGGCCAGUGAAUUGGCACACAUGAAGAUUCUUCGUGAUCUGUAAAGAAAGUGUAAAAUCUGCAACAAACUGUGGAAUAAUCUGACAUAGGAAGAGGUGGAUGGUACAGAAGAACAAUAAAAUAAUAGCCAGCC